ACCUGCUCCCCUUGGGACCAAGACCAGAGGAAUUUAAUAUACUGCCUUUCCCUUCAACCAAUAACCCAAGCUGCCCAAGAAUGGGAGGCCUCUGCUGUCCUGGGAAGGCUCCAUCCUGCAGAUACGAAUGAGGGGCUGUCAGCUCAGUCUCCAGAAACCAAGCAUCUCACUCCUACGUGUAACAGGGAAACCCACCCUGUGCAGGCAGGCUUUGGAAAAGGAGCUCAGAUGGAAAUACCCAUGGAAUGUUAGUUUGCUAUCUGGGCAUUGUUGAAGGAUGUGUCAAGGAUGGUGUCAGAUCUCAGGAACCUAGAGAAGGCUACCUGAGAGGACUCCUGGGAGGAUUGGCUACACAGCCGUGUGCAGAGCCAGCUCCAGGGAUCAUAGGGUUCUGUGUCAGAGGCCACCCAAGCCAGUCUGCACUCUCUCCUGACAUGAGGCCCUUCAUGACUGAAGACACAGCCUUCCACUCCAAGGCUCGUUUUUUCACACUUCCUGCCUCCUGUGCCCCACUGAUUGCUGCCUGGUCUCCUACUCCACUUUCAGCCAUCCACUCCGGCAGCUCUGGGGUGUGAGUUUGUCCUCCCACAUGGUCUGGUGACCUCUCUCCCACUUCCUUCCUUUAUUACCUCUGGCCUCCCCCAGCUCCCAGCCUUUCUGGAAGCUCUAGUCCUAACUCUGUAGACAGAAACAUCAUUUAUUCUCCAGAGACUGGGGAAGAGAACGCAUAUGGCUUAUACAGCAUCUGGCCAGUGGCAUUGCCUGGGAAGUCCUCCCUGCCUACCCUUGGAGGUCCUCAACCUCCAGGCUUCUACUGCUGAAGCUUGGAGAGUUUGCGGGACUGGGCUUCUGAAGCCAGGCAGAGGCCGGCAGCAAAGACAGCCAGGGGAUGCAGAGCCUCUGAGAUGGCAGGCCUCAAGCCUAAUCCUGGAAGGACAAGCAAGAAACUGGGCUUUCCUGCUGGGGAGAAAGCACAGACUAGAGCAUCUCAAAGAGGGAAGAGACAGCCAUGAGCCAAGUCACCGCAUCACUGCCACGCCCACUUUAUGUCACUGUCCCAGGCCCUGGUGAGCUGUCCUGCUGGAUCCACCCAGAGUACCUAGAUAAAGUCCUCUAACUGGUUGAAGUGCAUGUGUGAGUUUCCUGACUGUCACAGUGGCUCCGUAAAGAGGGGAGCUGCCAUCUUCUCCUUUUACAGGAGCCUCAGUUCCUUCUGCUUAGGGGAAAGAGACACAGAGACCCUCCUGAUUUCCUCCAUGACCAUCUUGUCCAUUUUUCCCCAGGUCUUAGGUCACUGGGAUAUGUGUACAGGCAGGAUUGUGAUAUCCCUGGACACAUUGGCAUCAUAGUCCUCCCUACCUCAGAUGAUACUGUUUGCUCUGAAACCGGCUAUCCCUGAUCAGCUGCACCAGCCUCUCCAGCCGUCGUCACCAGAGAUGAUGAAUUUUACCUUGUUGAGUGUUGGGUGUUUUGUUUUGCUAGCUGCCUAUUUGCGGGCUCCGUUCUGGGACACAGCUAAGCUCCUUGGAAGCACUCAGCUCUACUGAAGCUCUGCCUUAAGAAUUUCAUACUUGAGACAGGAGCAGUCUGGUUCAUCUUUCCCUUCCACGGAUUCAGAGUUCUGUCUCCACACAGCGCUCUUCUCUGGUGCUGUGGGCUGAGGAUUCCAGAUAUCUUGGUCUCCUGAAAUGUCAGCUUUGUCAGCCGACCUCCAGGCCUUGCUGGGCUUGGAGAGCAGUGUUCUUCCCAGCCCCAUGGACUGGAAAUUUUGGGCUGCAUGCCAGGGCAGCUGUGGGUGCACUUCAUUUGUUCCCCAUCUCUCUUCACUGCCUGAUGUCCCGUCUUUGUAAAGUGCUAUAUUAUAUACCAUCAGCCUCCAUCCUCACGAGUCCCUCAUCCAAGAAUAAGAAAAGCUGUGGGAGACUCUGGAGGCUAGCCCAGCUACAGAUCUGGAGGCUAGCCCAGCUACAGACCUGUCACUGCAUUCCUUGAAGUUUCAGAUCUGAAAACAUCUAGACCUAGCUCAAGAUACAUGGAAUUCCCUUCCUCCCUCGCCAGGUCCUCCUUCCCUGUGCACCCCAAGAUCUCAGUGCCUGUGGAGGACCCUGGAAGCAAGCUCUUGCAGGUAUCCAGGGGAAAGACAUCUGUCUAUUAAAUGUGGUGGUAACUGAGACAGGGUCUAGAAUCAGCUGAGAGACAGGCCUCUGGCACACCUUGCUUAUAUUAAUUGAUCUGGGAAGAUAACGUCUUAACCGUGGGUGGGAUCCUGGACUGCAUAAAUGGAGAAAGUUAGUAGGCAGCCACAUGUACUCAUUCCCCUGCUGCCUGAUUGUGGAUGCGAUGUCACCAGCUGCUUGGACCUCUGCUGCCUUGACUUCCCCCAUGGUGACAGAUUGUUCCUUGGAGCUGUGCAUUAGUUACUGUCUGUCGCUGUGAUGUAACAUCAUUUUCAAGGCUUAUGAUUCCAGAGAGAUGAGUCGAUGAUGACGGGAGCAGAGAUGUGGCAGCUGGAGCUGGAAGCAGGGCCUCACAUCCAAACCAAGAGCAGGAAGCAGAGAACACAAGCUGGAGGCGGGGGGCAUAAACUCUUGGAGCCUGCCCCUAAUUACUUACUACUUCCAACAAGGCCACACCUCCUAAGCUUCCCCAAACUCUGUGGAGGACAUCUUAUUCAAACCAGUACUAACAGGUAGGCCCUUUCUUGCUUGGUUGCUUUUGUCCUAGUAUCCUGUCACUGACGUAGUUAAAGAAAUCAAGACAUGAAGGGAAAGUGACUCUCAUCCCUGCCGUUCCCUCUCAUCAAUGAAAGAAAAGCUCUACCGGCUGGCAUUCGGGAGCACCAAGCUACAUCAGUUACCUCACUGUUUAAGUGGGAAAACUGAGGCUCUGAGGUAUAGAAAUUUCACCAUGUCCUACAGCAAGUUGGGACGUCUAGAACCUGCUUCACUCCCUCUGUGGGAUUCCCCACCCAAGAGAGUUCCCAGAAGGCAGUUUUAGGCAUGGAACCCCCCUUGCCACACAGUGCAGUGGAGUUAGGGGUGUGACAGGUAUUUUUCCCCACUCUGUCCCUAACCCUUCCUCAGUACAGCUCUGUGGGAAGCUGAGGGUCACCUGACACCUCCAGCUACAGAAGUACUUCAAGAAGCUUACCAGUGCACGCAGAGUUGAGCAUAUGUGUAAUCAUGGAGAUUUUCUUCAUUCGUGCAGUUUUGAGCAUCCCAGCUUGUCAGACAGGACCAUGGCUGUCCUCUGAGAGGCUUCAUCCAGCAGAUGACUCAGACAGAUGCAGACACCCACAGCCAAGCAGUGGAUGGAGCUUGGGGACUCUUAUGGAAGAAUCAGAGGAAGGAUUGUGGGCCCCAAAGGAGGAUCCCAUCCCAGGGAAAUCUACCCAACCAUCCCUCCCCGAUGCAGAUAAAGCAACAAGAAGCCCUGGGACACAUGCAUCAUCACCCCCCAAAAGGAAAAUGAAUCUUCCUAGCUGUGACCAGUGGAUAUCUCCUGCCCCUGCCAUGGUAGAGCUCAUUGGCAGAGGAACAGGAACAGGUGAGCACUGGAAGACGGUACACUGUGUGGUAAGGGCUGUGCUUGGCGACCUGCUGAGCAGGAACUGAACAGAAGAAGCAGGAGUAUAAAGGCCUGAAGCAUGGAGGUCUGCUGGUACUGGGGCCCCGGCUUCUCACCUCCUAAGGUGUAAGGAGUAUCUGGGACAGAGAUAGCCAUCAGCUGCCCAUCCCAGGCCCUCGCAGUGGACUCCCCUAUCUGGGUUCUGGGAGGUGAGGCAUCCCACCCACUGCCUGAUGUGUGCUUUCCUGGUGCAGACCUGAGCCACUGGGCACUCCCUCCUCUCUUCUCCCCUUGCCUGGCCUUACCUGCAACCUCCUCCAUGCCUGUUGAUGGUCUUUUAGGGAACUCCACGAACCAACCUUAUGUCCUUGUGUUUGGAAGCAGACAGUGUGACCAUUAAGACCCUCUUAUAAGAGGCCAGGGUGAGGACACCUUCCAGAUCUCUGUAUGAACAGCACCUCCACCAGGAACAGGCAGAGAGUUUCCUACACUGUCCCUGAUAGACUGGCACUUAGGUCUAGAGACAGAGGCAGAAUUUUGCUUUGGUGGCAGGUGAGCCCUCUCUCCCAUCUGUCCUGGGGUUUCUAUUGCUGCAAUGAACACCAUGACCAAAAAGCAAGUUGGGGAGGAAAGGUUUAUUUGGCUUACACUUCCAUACUGCUGUUCAUCACCAAAGGAAGUCAGGGCAUAAAAAUGGUCCCCAUAGGCUCAUAGCGUGGCACUAUUAGUAGGCAUAGCCUAGUUGGAGUGGGUGUAGCCUUAUUGGAGGAAGUGUGUCACUAGAGGUGGGCUUUGGGGUUUCAGAUGCUCAAGCCAGGCCCAGUGUCAUGUUCUCUUCCUGCUGCCUGCUGUUCUAGUGCCAUGUCUGCAUGUCAGCAUGCUUCCUGACAUGAUGACAAUGGACUGAACCUCUGAACCUGUAAGCCGGCCCCAAUUAAAUGUUGUCCUUU
ensembl:lincRNA Gm831 predicted gene 831